rnacentral:lncRNA from 1 species
GCGGCCACAUUGCUUGCUAUUUUUCAUUGGUGGUUAUGCAAAGCACGUUGGGUAGUUGUGUUUCGAAAUGGUCCACUCACCGUCUGAUCGUUGACCGAUUCUCUCGGUCGAGUUGACCGGGAGAGAAUCAAGGCGGUGCAGACAGGUGUUUAAAGUGGGGAUGACCGUAGAGGAACAUAAGAAGCCCGACAUGAUCUCCAGACAGUUGGAAAACGGAAUGCUGAGUUGGCAACUGCUCCUCCUCCAUCAUCCGGUGCAUGAUGGCUUCGCGCCCAAC